UGCCCGAGAACUAGUGAUCAAAGUGCAAGAGCUCAAAACGACUGGUUGUGUAACGACACCUCAAAUUGCUAAUCUCGGAUCAAUACACAUUCAAUAUAGAUAUCACUGAAGGUGAACCUUCAUUUCAAACUUAAACACAAAUAUAUCUAUGUACAGGCUGCAACCAAAAUCAGUUUGUCAAAAAUAAUUACAACGCGGGAGAUAUUAAAGCUGGAUAUCCAUGAAAGUGAAGGAUGACUUUAAAGCAUUACAAACCACAAAACGUGGAAACUUAUAAAGCAAAACUUAACAUGAUCAUAACAGCCAAAUCUCAAUAGUCCAUUACCAACUUGAAUCUUUUGAUUCCUCGAACCAAAGACAACCUUAGAUUAGUACAUGUUUGACAAGUAUAUGACAAUGCCAGAAAAUAUUUUUGAGCAGUCCUAACAUGUAUAUUAGUAAGGAAUUACUUCUAAUCUAUAUGAAACUAAGUAAAAUUAAUUCUUGUUUAAGCUACACAUUUAACAUUGAAUAGGAAAACUUAAUGAAAGAAGAACUUAGUUCAGUCAUGUAGCUUAAAUAAGCAAUUAGCACACAUAGAAAGAGCUUAAAACACAUUUAUUGAUACUCAAAUUUUGUUCACAUACUUAAAUAGGUACUACGGUUGUGUAACAUAUACAUGUAACAGCAAAAAAGAACAAAAGGAAAAUAAACCUCUGAAACAAUUGGAAAGAGCAGUAGCAAGAAACUAAAUUGCAGCAGAAAACCAGUAGAAACAAAGAAACAGCAGCAAGGGAAGAUAAAGAAAAUCACACUUCAAGAACCGAGAAAGUUUUUCUACAUAGUAAUUGCUGAGAGGUGUAAUACGGUCUUCAAAAUGAAGAAAAGAAGUGUCAAUUUUCUAAGUGUAUUUUUUGUGGGUCAAGUCAGUGAGAGGAGGAGUGAUUUUAGAGAAUGUGAGUGUGUGUUGUGUGUGAGGGAGAGGGGUAUGGGAAUAUUUUGCUAGCAUCCCUAAAAAUCCGGCAAUUGGCAUCCUUUGCAACUUAUUUUGUACAUUUGUCACUAUCCUGGAAACUUCUUCUGGUUUUCAUUUUUUCUUCUCUUUUUCUUAUUUUUAUGAUUUAUCUCUUGGAGCCUAAUUUCUAAACUAAAUGGUGAAAUGGAAAACAGUCAAAAAACCUAAAAAUCAUAAUAGAAUAGUAACUUAUUUAACCGUAAACAAUGGCUUACUUAACCUAAAUAACAGUGUAAUUAGAUUUUAUACUAAAGUUGAAAUUUAGCUAAAAAUCUUAAUUAGGCCAAAACAUCUAAAAAUUUUGAAAAAGCAGAAGAAUUAUCUGGCUGGAGAAGAAAAAAGAAUAAGAACAAAACAAAAGAACUAAGGGAGAGGAUUUACCUAAUUGAAACUCGAGUAAAUCAACAAAGGAGGAAACCGACGAGCAAAAUGAGCUUCGGCAAGUAAUGAAAAUUUCACACGAGCAUUGGCUGAAAUUUCUUCACACGGCUAAUGCUAUAUGUAGCAAUUCUCAUCACACACCGAAAAAGGAGAGAAUCAACGAUCAAAAUGAGUUCUGGUCGGUCAAUAUGUAUUUGAUCGAAUUCAAACGACUAUGAGGCGAGGUAGAAAUACCCACAAUUUGUGGUAUAUAAAUAAUGGAGUCGGUUGGUUAAAGUUUUGACCUCAAAUGGGCUGAAAAACAAAAGAAAUCAGAAAGGGGAUGAAGUAGGUUAUCGGUAAAUUUGGAUUUGAAAUUCGACGGCUUUGUGAGAAUUUUUAAAAAAUUGAUCGGGAAAUAAGGUUUAGGAGGGCGUGAGGAGUGUGCGAUAUGAAUUUGGAAUGUUUUGGCGUUUCGCCGCCGCAAUGAACUGCGGACAGUAGUAAGAGACGAGAGAGAGAAAGAGAGACGAGUUAUGUGAGGUUUUUGGGGUUAGGAAGGAUCUAAUCUGACACUUAAAAAGGAGUGGAACUUUAGUUCCCAACUAUUGGAUCAUGACUAAUCCUAUGGCUGAGAAUAAAAGUCUAUCAAACGGGGUCGUUUGGCUUGAACGAGCGGCUAGACCGGGUAGGGGGUUGGGCUAGCAAUUUGGGCAAUUUUUAGGUCAAUUGGGCCACUAAAAAAUGGUUGUGGCCCCAUUCAAAAUCAAAUCAAGCUCAUUUUUUUUCUUUUUCUUGAUUAUUAAAUCUUAUAUAAUUAGUAAAAAUCUAAGUUACAGAUAUUAGAGUGUAUUGGCUUUGGAAUUAGAAAUCAGUUCAAAACAAAAUGUCAAUUUAUUUAGAAUAGAUAUUACUGCACUUAUACUUCCAUUUCUGAUACUGAAUCACGUCACAAAAAAUAGAAUUCCUCAUGUUUAAACUCCUAUUUGAUUUCAUGACUUAUUUUUCGGAUUAACAAAAUUUAAUAACAAACAAUAUAUGUUCUAAGAUUUUGGAACCUCUAGCAAGGUAACAUGCUAGUCUUCUAAUUGCUAAUCUCAAAUCAAUACACAUUCAA
rnacentral:lncRNA from 1 species